rnacentral:rRNA from 1 species
UACGGAGGGUGCAAGCGUUGUUCGGAAUUAUUGGGCGUAAAGCGCGUGCAGGCGGUUGGGUAAGUCAGAUGUGAAAGCCUUCCGCUUAACGGGAGAAGUGCAUUUGAAACUACCCAGCUUGAGUUCGGGAGAGGAGAGUGGAAUUCCCGGUGUAGAGGUGAAAUUCGUAGAUAUCGGGAGGAACACCGGUGGCGAAGGCGGCUCUCUGGCCCGAUACUGACGCUGAGACGCGAAAGCGUGGGGAGCAAAC